GUAAUACAAAAAGAUAGAUAAAAUAAUAAAGAUAACAAUGGUAAUAAUAUUAUUUUCAGGCAUGAAGGAUGGCGUCAACACGGAAACCUGUUGGAAUAAAUUUCGACAAAAUGCUACUGAGCUUAAAAGAUGACAUACAGGCAUGGUCGAGGAUUACGAAGAGAUGAACCUGCCCAUUAAUGACGACAGUGAAAAGUUACGAAGGUUCUGCGAGAGGCUGGAGUUUCUGCUCAAGUUUGGGCUCAAAGAACGUAGCCUGGUCUUAGGGGGACGGAAGGACCUUUGGCCGUACCGCUGCCGCUGCCUCGAGGAACGCAGGAAC